UCACAAGUUUCUUGAAGACUAGCCAACUCCUUCCAUCGCUCUAUCAACAUGCUACAACUUGUCGUAAAUGCUGGUAUCAUCACCUUCAACAGGAAAUCGAGGGAAAAGAGAAUGAAUGUUGAUUGUUUCCCAGGAUUUUGACUAAAUUUUCUUGGAGAAGAAGAUGCUCAUGUGGGGUCGUACAGCAGGGAAUUUUGAAGUGGGACCCUGUUGAUUCAUGAUCAUGGCCGUCCAAUUUGUGAGUCAGCUUUAGACAUUGACUCUGAUCUUUUGACGAUAUGCAUAUAUAAGUUUAUUUGCUAUUACUUUCUUUUGUUUAUUGGGAACAUUAUCUUUGAAAGAGGAAGAAGAGAUUAUAUCAAA